rnacentral:rRNA from 1 species
UGCGUAGGCGGCCUGACAAGUCAGAGGUGAAAGGCUACGGCUUAACCGUAGUAAGCCUUUGAAACUGACGGGCUUGAGUGCAGGAGAGGAAAGUGGAAUUCCUAGUGUAGCGGUGAAAUGCGUAGAUAUUAGGAGGAACACCAGUGGCGAAGGCGACUUUCUGGACUGUAACUGACGCUGAGGCACGAAAGCGUGGGGAGCGAACAGGAUUAGAUACCCUGGUAGUCC